ACAAAAAAUGUGUCUGGAACAAGGAAAAUCGUUCAAAAAGACCCUAAACGGAUGGACACCCGGUGUUUCUACCAGAUCAAGUGCGGCUUGCGACGGAGAGGACUAUAAUCGAAAUAAACCGAAAGUAUUAAGGUCGAGCUGCAACGAGUGCAACUAAUACAUGCCGAUUUUCGAAUGAACCCAUAGAUCAAGACUGGAAUGAGCUUCUACUAGUCUUACUGUCUCCCCACCCCAACAUAUUUCUUGAUACUAGGCAUAGAACAAGGCUUAUAUAGACACGACUCUUACUCUUGUAGAAAGUGUGUCGCCAAAGUGGCGCGCCCUGGUGGCUGGGAAUUAAAGAAUUCAAACAAACCUACAUUAUAAACCCACUCCACUUGCUUAUUUUUAAUUGUGUCGCAAGGGGCAGCUGAUAAUACGGAUAAAUGACACAACUACACAAAAAUACAUAUAAAUAUAUAUAUUACUUGUU